GUUGGUGCCGGAACUCUGGCUGUGACCUUGUGCGGUAGCUGGUGUCACAUCACAGACAGAGUUCUAGUUACUAGC
rnacentral:pre_miRNA from 1 species